GCCUGGCUAGCUCAAUCGGUAGAGCGUGAGACUCUUAUGAUCUCAAGGCUGUGGGUUCAAGCCCCACGUCGGGCU